GGGUGCGUAGCUCAGCCGGUUAGAGCGCUUCGUUCACAUCGAAGAGGUCGCUGGUUCGAUCCCAGCCGUACCCA
rnacentral:tRNA from 1 species